rnacentral:rRNA from 1 species
CAGUCGCCGCGGGAAAACGAAGGGGGCUAGCGUUGCUCGGAAUCACUGGGCGUAAAGGGUGCGUAGGCGGGUUUUUAAGUCAGAGGUGAAAUCCUGGAGCUCAACUCCAGAACUGCCUUUGAUACUGAAAGUCUUGAGUAUGGGAGAGGUGAGUGGAACUGCGAGUGUAGAGGUGAAAUUCGUAGAUAUUCGCAAGAACACCAGUGGCGAAGGCGGCUCACUGGCCCAUAACUGACGCUGAGGCACGAAAGCGUGGGGAGCAAACAGGAUUAGAUACCCCAGUAGUCCCUGUCUCUUAUAC